GGUUGACCUCGGAUCAGGUAGGAAUACCCGCUGAACUUAAGCAUAUCAAUAAGCAGAGGAA
rnacentral:rRNA from 1 species